rnacentral:rRNA from 1 species
AGAGAAGGAUCAUGGCUCAGAAUCAACGCUGGCGGCGUGCCUCAGACAUGCAAGUCGAACGAUUAAAGAAAGUUCGGAGGGUGUAUAAAGUGGCGCACGGGUGAGUAACACGUAAGUAAUCUACCCUCGGGUGGGGAAUAACAACCGGAAACGGUUGCUAAUACCGCAUAAUGCAGCGGCUCCUUAUGGAGACAGUUGUUAAAGGAUUUAUUCGCCUGAGGAGGAGCUUGCGGCAAAUUAGCUAGUUGGUAAGGUAAUGGCUUACCAAGGCUACGAUCUGUAGCCGGUCUAAGAGGACGGUCGGUCACACUGACACUGAAUAACGGGUCAGACUCCUACGGGAGGCAGCAGUCGGGAAUUUUGGGCAAGGGGCGAAAGCCUGACCCAGCAACGCCGCGUGAAGGAUGAAGUAUUUCGGUAUGUAAACUUCGAAAGAAUAGGAAGAAUUAAUGACGGUACUAUUUAUAAGGUCCGGCUAACUACGUGCCAGCAGCCGCGGUAAUACGUAGGGACCAAGCGUUGUUCGGAUUUACUGGGCGUAAAGGGCGCGUAGGCGGCAUGACAAGUCACUUGUGAAAUCUCUGGGCUUAACUCAGAACGGCCAAGUGAUACUGUCGCGCUAGAGUGCAGAAAGGGCAAUCGGAAUUCUUGGUGUAGCGGUGGAAUGCGUAGAUAUCAAGAGGAACACCUGAGGCGAAGGCGGGUUGCUAGGCUGACACUGACGCUGAGGCGCGAAAGCCAGGGAG